AGAUAGGCCUCACUUGAGGCCACCAUUAAACUAAUGAUUAGUAUUU
rfam:Serpula lacrymans var. lacrymans S7.3 unplaced genomic scaffold SERLA73scaffold_1, whole genome shotgun sequence.